UGAGAACUGCCAGAGAGUCCCUGUGCCAGCUGUCUGCCCUCCACUGAGGCCUUCUAGACAGAGUGAUACCACCUGCCUAAAGCCUCAGCGACGCUGCUGAGAGUGAGUUUCUUCAGGGUUGGUUUCUUCAACCAUAUUAAUUGGACAACUAGCCAGAAGUGCAGCUUCUAAAUACACAAUUAAUUCAUUGCAACUGAGAAGCAAAUUAGAAUCAGAGUAACUUACCUGUGAAGCAGAGAAGAGCCACCUUGUUGGGUCUCUCUGAGUAGCCCUACCAUCUGCACCACUAAGUCUCCAGUAGCCCGCCAUCUGACCCACAGAAAUACAUUUUCACAACACAGAAGCAGAACCACUUCCUCCCCAACAAGAGCUCACACUUGGGGCAGGGCCACUAGCUCCGCUGUCUUAGCACCUGCCUGGCAAGCAAAAGUCCCAAGUUCGAUCCCUGGUACUACAUGCCGUGCUGGCCCUGGAACCUCAGACACACCAAGCUGGCCCAGAAACCGGUUGCGGUAGUGCACACCUAUAA